GCCCUUAUACGACCGUACCGCAAACCGACACUGGUGCGCGAGAUGAGUAUUCUAAGGCGCUUGAGAGAACUCAGGAGAAGGAACUCGGCAAAUUGACACCGUAACUUCGGAAGAAGGUGUGCCCUAUUAGUGUGUAGUGAACAACGAAGCAUGAAUGGGUUGCAAAAAAUCGGUGGCUGCGACUGUUUAUUAAAAACACAGCACUCUGCAAACACGAAAGUGGACGUAUAGGGUGUGACGCCUGCCCGGUGCUGGAAGAUUAAAUGAUGGGGUGCAAGCUCUUGAUUGAAGUCCCAGUAAACGGCGGCCGUAACAAUAACGGUCCUAAGGUAGCGAAAUUCCUUGUCGGGUAAGUUCCGACCUGCACGAAUGGCGUAACGAUGGCCACACUGUCUCCUCCUGAGACUCAGCGAAGUUGAAAUGUUUGUUAUGAUGCAAUCUCCCCGCGGAACACGGAAAGACCCCAUGAACCUUUACUGUAGCUUUGUAUUGGACUUUGAACAGAUCUGUGUAGGAUAGGUGGGAGGCUUUGAAGCAGGGUCGCUAGAUCUUGUGGAGCCAACGUUGAAAUACCACCCUGGUGUGUUUGAGGUUCUAACCUAGGUCCAUUAUCUGGAUCGGGGACAGUGCAUGGUAGGCAGUUUGACUGGGGCGGUCUCCUCCCAAAGCGUAACGGAGGAGUUCGAAGGUACGCUAGUUACGGUCGGACAUCGUGACGAUAGUGCAAUGGCAUAAGCGUGCUUAACUGCGAGACUGACAAGUCGAGCAGAUGCGAAAGCAGGACAUAGUGAUCCGGUGGUUCUGUAUGGAAGGGCCAUCGCUCAACGGAUAAAAGGUACUCUGGGGAUAACAGGCUGAUACCGCCCAAGAGUUCAUAUCGACGGCGGUGUUUGGCACCUCGAUGUCGGCUCAUCUCAUCCUGGGGCUGUAGCCGGUCCCAAGGGUAUGGCUGUUCGCCAUUUAAAGAGGUACGUGAGCUGGGUUUAAAACGUCGUGAGACAGUUUGGUCCCUAUCUUCCGUGGGCGCUGCAGAUUUGAGGAAGCCUGCUCCUAGUACGAGAGGACCGGAGUGGACACACCUCUGGUGUAUCGGUUGUCACGCCAGUGGCAUUGCCGAGUAGCUAAGUGUGGAAGAGAUAACCGCUGAAAGCAUCUAAGCGGGAAACUCGUUUCAAGAUGAGAUCUGCCGGGGCCUUGAGCCCCCUAAAGAGUCGUUCAAGACCAGGACGUUGAUAGGUCAGGUGUGGAAGC
rnacentral:rRNA from 1 species